ensembl:lncRNA
CCUGAUCUUAAUGAGUUCUUGUUUCCUUUUGAAAUGGGGUCUGUUUGAGUGAGACUGACAUGAACAGCUUUGUAUGCAUAAAAAACAUGGCAUUCAAGCUCUGUCCAGGGGGCGCAGUGGACUAAUUCCAUGGAUAGAGAACAGAAGUUUAGAGAACAGAAGAUUAUAGGUAUAACAUGUUUUCAGAACCUCCAACCUAAAAAGAAAUGUUCCCAGAACAGAGAGUUUGAGCAACGUUAAUUCGAACAGGCAGAAGGAGAGAGAACAUGCAAGAAAUUGAAACAGGCACCUUAGCCAGGGGAGGGAGAAAAAAGACCAGAGGCCACGACAUCACAGAGGAGAACAAUCUAUAACCCAGCCAACGUGGAACCUGUACCCAUGGAAACUCAAGUUCUGACUGUCAUGGUGAUGGUGUCUCCUGUCCGUAG